GCCGGGGUAGCUCAGUUGGUAGAGCACAUCCAUGGUAAGGAUGGGGUCGUCGGUUCAAAUCCGAUCCUCGGCUCCA
rnacentral:tRNA from 1 species